rnacentral:tmRNA from 1 species
UUUCUUGUAUCCGUGGGGCUAAGCGCUUAUAUUGACUGGUAAUGGUAGUGAACCAAAGAUUGGAAUAGGCGAACCGGACGUGGCUUCGACGCCACCACCUCCACCAACAGCGGCCGUUAUUUAUGGUUUUUGGCUGUUGCUGAUGGGGGUGAAUUGGGAUCGACGGGCGUAAUAAAGGGUCUAAGGCUACUCGGUGAGACACGCCGUUAAUGUUCAACAAGCAA